GCCCUGGGAGGAGGGGAGGGGAGGGGAGGGGAGGCUGAGACCGAGGGGAAAAGGGAGUGUGUGCUCCUCAAGAAGAGAAUGUACCUCAUCUGUUUAUUUUUAUUUUGGACACGGCUCCACGGUGAGAACCGAGGAAGAACUCCGUGUGCUGGUCCUCCUUCUGAAGUGCUCUCUCGCAAGCCAAGGGAGCUGGCUGAUCAGGGAUGCUCUGCGGACGGAGACGCGCCGUAGACCGCCAGCAUCCUGCUGAGAGCUGGGUCCGAGAUCUCUGACUCCCUGGCUGAGCGGACACGCACUUCGUUUGUUUACUGUGCUUUUCCCCUCUCAUCCGCCCGGCCCUGUCCUGGGGAGAGAGCUGGGGCUCCUCUUGGAGAGCAGACCUUGGCCUUGCUCUGGGGAGUUGAGGAAAUGACCCAAACACAGACAUUUUUAACUGGACUGAAAGAUGCUAUGUCCCUGUGCAGGUCGAUUUUGUGUGCUCACCUGAGAAGCGUGUGUUGUGGGGAGAAGUGUUUUGUCCUUCUGGUCCAAGAGUUCGAGAGCUUUGCUAGUGGAGAGCUGUAGCCUGCUUCUUUUUUCUUCUUCUCCUGGAGGUUUGGGGUGGAGCAGUCUGGUGAGCAGGGGACCCUGGAGUCUGAGGCUCCAGGUCCUCAGACAGGGGAAGUACUGGGGAUGCCACACUGCCGUGGCCUCACCUGCCUUUGGGGCUCCCGGUGGAGGUGCCCUGUUCCCCAGAAUGGAGGCCUGGACUCUGGAGAGGGCACCAGCCAAAGGGGAGUCCUUUGGGAGGUGGCUAGACUGGGAUGCCACCAGCUGAAGGCCCAUGCGUGGCCUAUGAACCAGAGGAGAUGAGUGUUUGAAGAGCAGUAGCUGGCCUGCCCCGGGGCUGCCACCUCCGUGCUGGGCUAGCUGGGGUCGUGUGGACACUGCAGCCCAGAAUUCGCUGUACUUUGGGGAGUUAGGGUGGGCUUCCUCCAUGUCUUGGAAGACCCUGGCAGAGCGACAGCAGUGGGAGAAGCUCCGCGAAUUCUAUGACACGGAGUGACGGGUGGAGAAGCCCAGGGCAAGAGGUGACAGAAGACGACAGGACAGAGGUGGCCUCACAGCUCUCCACGGACAGGCUCAGAGGUGCAGGGCGGCCCCCGAACGCAAGCCGCGGACUUCCUGCAAGGACCGAGGUGGGUCCAGGGGGCCCGAACUCCCCGGGAUCAGGCUGCAUCUGUGCGGGGAGGCCUGGUCUUGUCUGUGAAGACCUGCGGGGUGCCUUCCGCCCGCUGGCCCCGUAGGGGAAGCACUGUGCAUUUUUCCCAGUGCCCACCAUGCCUUUGUGGUUCCGAGGGUCAAGACUGGAGCCAGAUGAAGGAAGAAAUCAAAACCCUGAAGACUGCUCAUUUCAAGCUUUGUCGGCGACUUAGCUAGAAGCUAAGUGGUGAGUGUUGGAGCCAGUGUGGUGUGGGGGCAGGGGAGCAGCACAGGGUUGUCGCUUCAAUCAGGGCACAAACCCUGGAGGGAAAAACAAACACUUUAGAAAGCACUUGACCUUUGAAAUGCUGAGCUCUAAAAAUAGCGAUGGAGCAUCGGGAUGCUUCGCGGAGGCAAAGAUGAAGUCAGGAUGCUCCGAGCCUUUCUGCCUCCCAGCCUGGCUUCCCCUGCCCUCUGUCCGCCCUCCACCAGCAGCUGGUGAGCAGCCCGGUCACCCGGCCGCCCGGCCGGAGGUGCGCUCUCCUCUUGGCCAGGGCAGCUGGGGCUGGGGACCUCUGGUGCGAGCAGCGUGUGUUUGGUUUCACUUCAUCGCUUUCUUCAUCACUAUGUUGACAUCCUUCCCUCUGCACGUUUCAGCAGGAAGGUAGGUCUGCAGGUUGGGAGACAGGGGUUGUUGGCCCAGUUGGGGUUCAUCCAAACUUCAGCAAGUUUCUUUAAACCUCUUUCAAGUACUUGGUUAGAGCCUUGAGUUUUGGGGGCCGUGUGUCGUGUGAGGUCCCGAAUCCACAGGGCGUGCUUGGCCCGGGGAAGAAGAGGCGGGGCACGGAUGGUUCCUCCUGUUGCUGUCCUUCCUCUGCAGUGGCUUCUCAUCCUUCGUGAAGGGCUGGCCGCACACGUCCAGCCGGGUCAGACACUGAUGACAAAAUCGGUCCUCCAAAGCCCAGCCAGGCCACCAUCACACGGGCACCGUGGUGAGAGCGCCUUUGGUAAAGAGUUUUCUGAGCACCACAAGCUUUCAGGCGUAAGUGUAGCACAUUUUAAUAGGAAAGCUCUGUCUGAAAACAUGCCAGCUGGAAAUCAGAUUGUGUGGAGAGGAUAAAAAGAGCCCCGCCCUGCUGCCCAGCAAGCCGGCAGCCCGCCCUCGUCCUCACGUCUGGGGGGGGUCGACUUCGCGGGGGCUCUGUCGCUCUCUCGGCUUCUCCCUGGAGCAGUGGUCAAAGGCUGUCCGUCCUCCCGCCCCUGUUCUCCGGACGGGACUUUGAACCCAGGACAGCGAAGCGAGUCACUCUGAAGUUCCCUCUGACUCACGUGACGCGAGGGGGUUGAGGUCUGCUCCACUUGGAGAUGUUUUUUCGCUGACUGUGUUUGAGGCACCAUCCAUCCCGGGCUGGAACCAACUGUCUUUGUUCUCAUGACUGGUUUCUGCACCGUGGACCGACCCCACCAGCUGCUGACUCACUGUCCUCAACCGGGAGGUUCUGAUCCAAACACCGCUUAGCAGGCCCCCUCUGUUCGCAAGGCCAGCGUAGGAAGCGAGAAACCCAGCAAGUCGUUUUCUUUCUGAGUCAAUCAUCUCAUGCAAGCAACCCAGCGAGCCGGCGAAAGCCCUUUCUCAGAGACUGGGAGUGAAUGGAACCCUUUGACUCCAUGAGCUGAGACGGGCCCUUGUUGUCCGCUGGCAUCCUUGGGUUAGUGCCUCUUUGUGGACGUCCUGGGGACCUGCGGGGGCCUGAGAGUGGACGGGGAACUUCUGACCCCAGGCGCUGUGUCUGCGUCUGCAGACAGCGCCCUGAGGGGGGAGCUGCUCAGCUGUCUGCAGCCCUGGGUCCCCCAGGGGCGCUGGCCAGGGCGGGAGCCGGCUCCCUGGGGUGGGCAGUUACUUACAACUUAGACCUUUUUCUGAGCGAUAGUGAGUGGUGCCCUCCUAGGGAAGGCUCCGGGCCUGGCCACGAGACGGGUGUGCACCCCGGCAGCUCUGAAACAGGGAAGGAGCUGGGAUAAGAUGCGAUCCCAGAGUUAACAGACCGCCCCUAUUGGCAUCUCACCCAGGACUGAGAGGUUUUGAACUUUGUGAUGAAUUUAGGAGAGCAAGCGUAUUUGUAGGUCCACCAGGCUGCCAGUCCCAGUGGUGACCAGUUCAGCCCGUACACAGCGUAACAGGUUCCCCCUCCUUCUCUGCCCCCAACAGAAGCUUGGCAUGGGGGUCUUCGCCUAGCUGAGGCCUCGUGCCCCUUCAAUGGCUUGGUGCAGCCUCCAGAUGACCAGUCAGAGUGAUGCUUUUAAUACAUGAAGUCCACUCAGUGGGCACAUCGGACUUCUCGAAGGUGGGCUGGUCAAUGUCCCUGGGCCACAUGCUCUUCUUCAGUCACCUUGUCACCUGGGGGGUCUGUUUCUCCACCCCUCAGACCUGGGCAGGUCCCAACAAUACAUGGUCCAAUAGGAUGAGGCAGAAGUGAUGUCAUCCUGAACCUUCAUCUUCAUCUGCGUGGGAGGCAGCUUGUGUAGGAAGUUCACUGGCCCCCAGAUUGCGGUGCUGUGGAAGAUCAAGGUCAAGGCCGAGGUGCCUGGAAGGCCACGGGGCACUGAAGAGGCAGCAGGCUGGGUGAAGAGGGAUGUGAGGGCACCAGAAAGCCCCCACAGCCCAGCCUGCACCACGUGGGCCAGACCCGACCUGUCCAGCUGAGCCUCCCACAAUCUCCUGAUCCACAGAAUUGUCAGUGGAAGAAAAUGAUUAUUUUAGGCCACUAAGGUUGUUUGUUUUUCAUUUAUUUUGGGGGCUAGAGGGAUUGUUACCCAGCAGUAGAAAACCAGAACAUGAGAUCACCCAGGAGAUUAAUUAUAUUAAAAUACAGGCUAUGAUGGUUAGGGUUACUUGACAGGGAUCCUGGCUUUCCAGCUGUUCGGUCAAUCUUAAGACUGGGUGUGUCUGUUGGGGUGUUUUUGAAAGGAAGGGAACAGGCUAAUGAGGCAAAUCAAAUGCCACUGUAGACCCCAGCCUUCAUUUCAGGGCUACCUCUCCACUGCCGUAACUGCAAUGCAUAACCCUUCCCUCUAGGCUGUCAUGAGGAGCAGGUCAAUAGCAAUGUGUCAUUUCAAGAGUGUUAUAAAAAUGAAAUCAUAUGGUAUAUAUCCUUUUGGGAUGGGCUUUUUUUUCCCCGUCAGGAUAAUUCCCUGGACAUUCAUCCAAGUUGUUUUAUAUAUCAAUGAGUCAUUCUUUUUGAUGGCUGCAUAAUAUUCCAGAGUGUGGGUGGACAACAACUUGUGAAACCAUUCACCCAUUGAAGUAUAUCUAAGUCAUUUCCAGUUUUUGACUAUUACAAAUAAAGCUGCUGUAAGCAUUCACAUACAAGUUUUUGUGUGAACAUAAUUUUUCAUAGCUCUGGGAUAAAUGCUCAUAAUUUCUGGCUUGUGUGGGAGUUGCAUAUUUAGUUUUAUAAGAAGUUGCCUGCUUUUUGCAGUGGCUGUACCAUUUUACAUUCCCACCAACUUAUUUUAUUUUUAAAUGAAUUGUUAUUAAAUUAGUUGGAGGCAGGGGAGUGGUAGAUGUGGUUUAAAAGGGCAACAGGUAGAAUUCUUGGGGAAAUGGAAAUGGUGUAGAAUCUUGACUAUGGUGGUAGAUACACCAAGGUGCGCGUGUGAUUAAACUGUAUAGAACAAAAUAGACAUACAUCAGUAAAUACACAGCUGGGAGAAUCUGACCAUGACAGGUGGACGGUCUCAAUGUCAAUGUCAUGGCUGUGACAUAGUCUAGUUUUGCAAGAUGACACCACUGGAAAAACUGGGUAAGAGUAACUGCAUAUGAAUCUACAGUUGUCUAAAAAUAAUCUAUUCAAAUAAAGUAAAUAAAAUAUAUGGUAUUAAUUUCA